GCUCCAUGUCCUCACCAGCAUUUGGUGUUGUCAAUAUUCUGGAUUUUGGCUGUUCUAAUAGGAGUGUGCUUGGCCCAUUCAUGGAGCAGGCUGGCAGCAAGAAGGAAUUAAUACAUCUGGAAACAACUCUUAAACAAUGAGAGAUGUUUUGUGAAUAAACCUCACAGCUUCCACAAUCCUCAUGGGACAAUUCAGAGGUGUCUGACAGUGUGUCUCAGAGAGUCCACAAUAGAACUGUGUCCUGAUUGUUGCUCACAUGGUCACACAGCCAUUAAUGUAUGCUUGAUUUGCUUUUACCCCUUUCCUGUCACACUUUUCCACUCCUUCACCAUGCACUCACAUCUUGGGAUUACAUCCCAAAUAAACUGCUCAGACUCAAA